GACAGUUCACUGUCAGUGUCUGUGUUUAUGGAAAUGAGCUGCAGAGGGAAGCAGUGUCCAAACAAAGCAGAGAUGUUAUCACACACACACACACACACCAGUUUGCAUGUCAGUGAAGCUCAGCGUUAAUUAAGGUCACAAACACUACAUUUGUUUACAUCAUUUUUCUAAAACAAAAACUCGCCAGAGUGCAACUCCAAGUUUUUAAAGGGACAGUCGUCCCUUAUUACACCGUUGACUCAAUGACACUGUCACAUGUCACCACUAGUAGUGGUGACAUGUGACAGUGUCCACAAACCAACUGUCCACAAACCAAAAUGAUUCAGUUUGAAUGAUUUAUUUGUUAUAUAUGGAGCAAAAAAAGGCAGAAAACCAGGACUAAACCAGGACUAAAAAACUGUAGAACAUAGGUCCAAACCAGGUCUAAACCAGGUCUAAAACACUGUAGAAUAUAGGUCAAACCCGGUCUAAACCAGGACUAAAACACUGUAGAAUAUAGGUCUAAACCAGGAUUAAAACACGGUAGAAUAUAGGUUUAAACCAGGACUAAAACUAUGUAGAAUAUAGGUCCAAACCAGGUCUAAACCAGGUCUAAAACACUGUAGAAUAUAGGUCUAAACCAGGACUAAAACACUGUAGAAUAUAGGUCUAAACCAGGACUAAACCAGGACUGAAACACUGUAGAAUAUAGGUCUAAACCAGGUCUAAACCAGGACUUAAACACUGUAGAAUAUAGCUCUAAACCAGGUCCAAACCAGGACUAAAACACUGUAGAAUAUAGGUCUAAACCAGGUCUAAACCAGGACUAAAACACUGUAGAAUAUAGGUCUAAAUCAGGACUAAAAGGACUAAAACACUGUAGAAUAUAUAUAAACCAGGUCUAAACAAGGUCUAAACCAGGACUAAACCAGGACUGAAACACUGUAGAAUAUAGGUCUAAAUCAGGUCUAAACCAGGACUAAAACACUGUAGAAUAUAGGUCUAAACCAGGACUAAAACACUGUAGAAUAUAGGUCUAAACCAAGACUAAACCAGGACUAAAACACUGUAGAAUAUAGGUCAAAACCAGGACUAAAAUAUAGGAGAAUUCAGGUCUAAACCAGGUCUAACCAAGGACUACAACACUGUAGAAUAUAGAACUAACCCAGGACUAAAACACUGUAGAAUAUAGGUCAAAACCAGGACUAAAACACUGUAGAAUAUAGAACUAACCCAGGACUAAAACACUGUAGAAUAUAGAACUAACCCAGGACUAAACGGUAGAAUAUAGGUCUAAACCAAGUCUAAACCAGGACUAAAACACUUGUUCUGAGUGUGUUUGUAUCAGAGGAAUUAUUUCAACAUGAAAACUGAUUACGUGAACAGAACUGAACUAUAAAAUCAUAAAAACACUGUAGUUUGUCUCCAGAUGUCUGGAUACUGAGAGUGGCUCCACCCACACUCUGGGGACACGUGUGUGUGUGUGUGCGUGCGUGUCUGGGCGGAGGCCGGCUGAUCUCAGUCCUUCUGGACGUUGUCACCUCUGAUCUCACUGUUUCAUUCCUCUCUCGUCCACGUUGAUAUUUAAAUGACAAGUAUUUCAUGUUCAGGAAACUUCAGCACCAUGUUUGUGACGUCUUUAACUGCACUGCGUUUGUCUGACACGCGUUCACGUCUUUGUCUCACUGUUACGCACACUUUUACACCAGGAAAUUGUUUGUAAAACACUCAAUCUCACACACCAAAGUCCAUAGAGAAAAUCA